UACAGAGGGUGCGAGCGUUGUUCGGAAUUAUUGGGCGUAAAGGGCGCGUAGGCGGUGCGGUAAGUCACCUGUGAAAUCUCCUGGCUCAACUGGGAGCUUGCAGGCGAAACUGCCGUGCUGGAGUGUGGGAGAGGUGCGUGGAAUUCCUGGUGUAGCGGUGAAAUGCGUAGAUAUCAGGAGGAACACCGGUGGCGAAAGCGGCGCACUGGACCACAACUGACGCUGAGGCGCGAAAGCUAGGGGAGCAAACAGG
rnacentral:rRNA from 1 species